UCCUUUGUUAUCAAAUAUGAAAAUCUUCCGAAAUCAAUAAAAUGGCCUCUGCAUAAACCCGAAGCCUUUGUAAUUUGACUCCAAUUACGGUGAACAAUAAAUCGCGGAUCAUCUUAAUCCGACUCCAAACAAAUCCAAAUCGCCAAAAAAGCAGGCAUCUUUGCCAUUGGCAACCGUCAACAAAUCUAAAUCGCACUUACAACAACCUUCA
rnacentral:lncRNA from 1 species